AGAGUUUGCAAUGAGGAUGACAGAAGCUCCCUCUUCUGAGGUUUUAAGGUGAGGAAUUCUGCUGGCAGAAUCGAACCUACAACUUUAAACGCCACAACUGAGUAA